GCCCUGGUAGCACAAUGCUUAAGCACUUGGCUGGUAACCAAAAGCUUGAGGGUUCAAACCCAUCCAGUGGCU
rnacentral:tRNA from 1 species